GAGAAAAAUCACAUUUAUUAGUUAAGACGACCACAGGCUGGACACAACACACAUGCUAAAAAGUGGACUGUCUUUUAAAACUUCCAAGGUAAAUAGCAAUAAACCCAUGUUGAACCUACCAUGAAAACUUUCAUUCACUGUGCUUUUGGUUACGUUGCCUCCUGAUUAGUCAUUAAUUUUAAUGAGGUUUUUUCCUUGUGUUGAGUAUGAAUAGACCUUACAGUUUGAGGAUCUCUAGAAUUCCCUGAAUUAUUGGAAAGACAUUCAUGACUCCCAGUGUGACUAGUUAAGAGCCCCAGGGAGCCUGUGAAGACUAGAAUCUACAAGUAACCUGCACUAAGAACGAAAUUCAGUAAAGGAGACUCAAGCUUAGCUCCUGGCCAUCUUAAAGGGCUAAUGUAUGUCUUUCACAGGUUUGUUCAACAUUUCAGUAAUUCACAGUAUAGCCAAGAGCAUGAGUAUAAGUCUCUUGAAAAAGCCAGUUAUUUGGAGCUUUUUAAAUUAUAAACUUUGAAAAAGUCACCCACGUUCUCACACUAUAUAGAUGACUUUGUAUCUAUUUUACUAUUUUCUCAUUUAACCAUACUAGCAAAUAAGGAAAAAGGCUAUUAAAUGACUCCCCUGAUGCUGGAAGCUGACAAAGCUUUUAUGCAAUUUAGCCUGUAACUAAAAAUUCACCUGUAUCAAUUCAUUCUGACUCCUGCAAUAUGAAUAGCUCAUUAUAAAGAAGGGCCUUCUGAUUCCCCCUGCCUCCCAAAUUAAAUAAAAAGGAACAGUCAUUUGUUUUCAUGGAAAAAAAAAACCAAACAAAAACAAAAAAAAAACCAGACCAUCUUAAGCAAAGUUUUACAUGACAUUAUAUAAAAUAAAGUACAAUUUCCA
rnacentral:lncRNA from 10 species